rnacentral:tRNA from 10 species
GAGGCCCUAAUUGGUUUUCCCAAGACAGAGGGGCAUAUGAGAUUGAACAAAUAUUUGUUGAAUGAAUGAACAAAGGGAACGCCUUUUAGGGAUGUUUCUGGGGGAAAGGCCUGAGGUUCUCCAGGAGGGUCUGCAGCUAGGGUCGGCCGUGGGGGCUCGCAGCCCGCGGGACCACCGGACCUGCAAGCGUCCCCCUGCCCCGCCCCCGCCUCGGCGCUCUGAGCAAUUGGACUCUGCCAGCUCUAACUCCGGCGGGACUCUGAAACUCAGGUGUUCUGGACUUGGAAGAUUUGUUGAAUUACUAUGAAGUCACAUCUAAAGUUUGAAAGUCUCGCUCUGUCGCCAGGCUGGAGUGCACGCUGGAGCGCGAUCUUGUCUUACUACAACCUCUGCCUCCCAGAUUCAAGCGAUUUUCCUGCCUCAGCCUCCCGAGUAGCUGGGACUACAGGGACGCACCACCAUGCCCAGCUAAUUUUUGUAUUUUUAGUAGAGAUGUGGUUUCACCAUGUUGGCCAGGAUGGUCUUGAUCUCUUGACCUCGUGAUCCACCCGCCUCGGCUUCCCAAAGUGCUGGGAUUAUAGGCAUAAGCCACCACGCCUGGCCUGAAAUUAUUUUUCUAUACAGUUCUUAGAGGAAGUGUUUGGGUCACCUACAUAGGCAUGUAGUUCUUGACACUGGUUACUAGAGGAUUUAUAGAGGAUGUUCAUAUAUUCAACAAGCAUUUGUUGAAUACCUAUUAGGUGCUAGCCAUGGAAAUAUGGGAUUGAAAAAAACAGACAAAAAUCCCUAAUCUCUCUUACAAUCUAGUGAGGACAAUCAGACAGUACACAAAAUAAGCAUAAUAUAUAGUAAUCAUGUGGUAGUAAGUUCUAUAGAGCAAAAACAAGUUUAAAGAAGGAGGUUGGGGGGAGUGUUGAGAUGCAUAAGGUUUGCAGUUAUAAAUGUGGUGGUUAGGGAAUCAUUUGCUGAAAAAUGAACAUUGAGCAAAAACCUGAAGGAUGUUAAAGGAAUAAGAUACAUGUAAUCCAGAUGAAAGUUUUUUGGAUAAAGGAAAGAGCAAUUGCUAAAUCCCUGAGGUGGGAGUGGGCUGUUCAUAAGACAGCAAAGCAGCCAGGGUAGCUGAGUGAUUGACAGCGGAAGAUGGAAAAUGGGGAAUAGUUGGUGUAGGACCUAGUUGUGAGGAUAUUGACUUUGUUUUUUUUCCAAGACAGAGCUGUGCUCUGUCGCCCAGGCUAGAGUGCAGUGGCAUGAUCUUGGCUCACUGCAAUCUCCGCCUCCCGGGUUCAAGCAAUGCUCCUGCCUUAGCCUCCCCAGUAGCUGGGAUUACAGGCACCUGCCACCAUGUCCAAUUAAUUUUUGUAUUUUUAGUAGAGAUGGGGUUUCGCCAUGUUAGCCAGGCUGGUCUUGGACUCCUGACCUCAAGUGAUCUGCCCGCCUCAGCCUCCCAAAGUGCUGGGAUUACAGGCGUGAGCCACCAUGCCCACCCUAGGAUAUUUACUUUUAUUUUGAAUAAGGAUGCCACUGGAGGCCAGACGUGGUGGCUAACGCCUAUAAUCCCAGCACUUUGGGAGGACGAGGCGGGUGGAUCACGAGGUUAGGAGAUUGAGACCAUCCUGGCCAACAUGGUGGAACCCCGUCUCUACUAAAAAAAAAAAAAAAAUUAGCCAGGUGUGGUUGCAUGCGCCUGUAGUCCCAGCAACUCAGGAGGCUGAGGAAGGAGAAUCACUUGAACCCGGGAGGUGGAGGUUGCAGUGAGCCGAGAUCGCCCCACUGUACUCCAGCCUGGGUGACAGAGCAAGACUCUGUCUCAAAAAAAAAAAAAAAAAAAAAUGCCACUGGAGAGCUUUGAGGAGAGGAUCAGUCUGGCUACUGGGUUGGGAAUUAAUCAUAGCAGGCAAAGGCAAAAGAAGUGAGGUUAGUUAGGAGGCUUUACAACAACCCAGAUGAGAGAUGGGAGGUUUUAGCCAGGGAGAUGGAGAUGUUGAGAGAGUAGCUGGACUCAGGAUUGUGACAGUGGACUGAAGGAAAAGCAGGUUUUGGGGGAAGAUUGCAUUUCUCCCUUCAACUUCAGUUACGUAGAUCACCCAUAUGCCACACAACUGCAACUCUGUAACAGCCAAUUUUUAGCUUCUUCCUUAUCUAAGCCAUCCUGUAGGCCAUAGGAAUUAAAACUAGGUUGGAUCAAGGAAAAGUGAAUGCUAGAUCCAUACAAAACUAUUUGGAUAUUUGCCUUUGUAUUUUAUUGUUUUGAAAUUAUUUUUAAUGGUUCAAUAAACUCUUACUAGAACUACAAGCAAUAUAAUUAUUUCCUCUGCUUUAUUAGAAAUGUUUUUGUAAUCAUGUUAAUUAUAUUACUUUUAACUAUAUAAGGCUUGUGUCUCUUUUUUAUAAAUUGAUGUUUAUAUCCUCUGUAAGAUAAAUAUAAAGGCUUUUUGUUCAUAUGAGGAUGUGCUGUAAGAUUGCAGGGAGUAUAAAAAUUGGCAAUGGAGUAGGUGACUUGUAUUAUUAGUCUGAUCUUAAUGUUGUAACAUACUGAUCAUGCAAAAUAUAUAAUUAGUUUGUUUUUGCUAUUUAAUAUGUGUAGGACUGUAACAAACAGACUAGAGAAGAUGGCCAUAAGUUACAAGAAAGCAAGUAAAUUACUAUCUAAUUAAAAGUAUUUGAUUCUAAUACUAGCAGAGUUCUGUCUAGAAAAUAAAUUAACUUUCUGUAUGCUUUUUUUGGUCUCAAUUUUCCAAUAAUUUCCCUCAACUCUGAUAUGUGUCUGUUGAAUAAUAUUUCUGAUGUUAAGAAUUAAAGGGGGUGUAGAUCAGUGGUAGGGCGCACGCUUAGCAUGCAUGAGGCCCUGGGUCAAUCCCCAGCACCUCCACAAAGGUUUUCUGGCUGGACACGGUGGCUCACACCUGUAAUCUCAGCAUUUUGGGAAGCUGAGUUGGACAGAUCACUAGAGGUCAGGAGUUCGAGACCAGCGUGGCCAACAUGGUGAAACCCUAUUUCUACUAAAAAUACAAAAAAAUUAGCCGGUCACGGUGGCACACACCUGUAAUCUCAGCUACUUGGGAGGCUGAGGCAUGACAAUCGCUUGAACCUGGAAGGCGG